UUCAGACUUAUUCCAUCUAUCACCAACCCUUUGACAUUCAAGGCCAUCCAUUAUUUUAAAAAAUCCAACGGGCAAUCGAUUUAUCAACGUGUCAAGCCACCGACCGUCUGAUGAAAGUUGACGGCAGCCCGACAGUGACCCUCUAGCAGGAAUACCCCAACUCCCUUCUAAUUUUCUGCUCAUCAUCAGCACUAAUUAUGCUAUAGUUUCCUUCCUAUUCCCUUAAUCCUUUCUCUAAGUACACUGUUAUCUACUUUACAAGUAACUAACUCAAGCACCCAGGAAAACUUGGCGAGGAAUUGGCGUAGCAUCCGGGGACGUGUGCUCGACGCCAUCCCAUC
rnacentral:lncRNA from 1 species